GUUGCGCAGGCAUNAGAGCNNUGCGCUUUUGUACACCGUAGGGAGGUGUACGAAUAAGGGCUGGGCAAGACCGGUGCCAGCCGCCGCGGUAAUACCGGCAGCCCGAGUGAUGGCCGAUCUUAUUGGGCCUAAAGCGUCCGUAGCUGGCCGCACAAGUCCAUCGGAAAAUCCACCCGCCCAACGGGUGGGCGUCCGGUGGAAACUGUGUGGCUUGGGACCGGAAGGCGCGACGGGUACGUCCGGGGUAGGAGUGAAAUCCCGUAAUCCUGGACGGACCGCCGAUGGCGAAAGCACGUCGCGAGGACGGAUCCGACAGUGAGGGACGAAAGCCAGGGUCUCGAACCGGAUUAGAUACCCGGGUAGUCCUGGCCGUAAACAAUGUCUGUUAGGUGUGGCUCCCACUACGAGUGGGUGCUGUGCCGUAGGGAAGCCGCUAAACAGACCGCCNGGGAAGUACGUCCGCAAGGAUGAAACUUA
rnacentral:rRNA from 1 species